CAUCUGAGGGGAGACACGUCAUCUCCAAACAUCCGGUGGAGUUACGGCGGUGUUCGGAAGAGUUCAGAGGCGUUCUACGCAUAGCUGUAGACCGUUCUAGGCGUUCUACGCAUAGCUGUAGACCACACUGAACAUAAAUAGUAUGUACUAAGUAUUCGGAUUCAGCCCAGGUAUUACUGAAGGCAUUCAAUGGUCAAAAUAUUAUUAAUAAAUAUUCGAAUACUAAUA